rnacentral:pre_miRNA from 1 species
AUAAACUCCACUUUGUGGGCGAACAUGUUUCUAGUGCACGGUUUCAGUUUAAGUUUCGUGACUAGAUUACAUGCUCGUCUAUUAAGUUGAGAUCA